AGAGGUUACUGCUAUCGGAGUUCGAUUAAGCCAUGCGAGUCUAAAGGUUUCUUCGGAAACCUUGGCGGACUGCUCAGUAACACGUGGAUAACCUACCCUUGGGACUGGGAUAACCCCGGGAAACUGGGGAUAAUACCGGAUAGAUCAGGGAUGCUGGAAUGCGCCCUGAUCCAAAGCUCCGGCGCCCAAGGAUGGGUCUGCGGCCUAUCAGGUUGUAGUGGGUGUAACGUACCUACUAGCCGACGACGGGUGCGGGUUGUGAGAGCAAGAGCCCGGAGAUGGAUUCUGAGACACGAAUCCAGGCCCUACGGGGUGCAGCAGGCGCGAAACCUUUACAAUGUGCGAAAGCAUGAUAAGGGAACUCCGAGUGCCAGUAUCUAAUACUGGCUGUCCUUGUGCCUAAAACGCACAAGAUAGCAAGGGCCGGGUAAGACCGGUGCCAGCCGCCGCGGUAACACCGGCGGCCCGAGUGGUAGCCGCUAUUAUUGGGUCUAAAGGGCCCGUAGCCGGUUCGAUAAGUCCUCUGGGAAAUCUGGUUGCUUAACAAUCAGACUGCCAAGGGAUACUGUCGAACUUGAGACCGGGAGAGGUAAGAGGUACUUCAGGGGUAGGAGUGAAAUCUUGUAAUCCCUGGGGGACCAUCUGUGGCGAAGGCGCCCUACGAGAACGGGUCCGACGGUGAGGGACGAAAGCUAGGGGAGCAAACCGGAUUAGAUACCCGGGUAGUCCUAGCUGUAAACGAUGCUCGCUAGGUGUCAGGCACGGUGCGUCCGUGUCUGGUGCCGCAGGGAAGCCGUUAAGCGAGCCACCUGGGGAGUACGGUCGCAAGGCUGAAACUUAAAGGAAUUGGCGGGGGAGCACUACAACGGGUGGAGCCUGCGGUUU
rnacentral:rRNA from 1 species